UACGGAGGGUGCAAGCGUUUAUCCGGAUUCACUGGGUUUAAAGGGUGCGUAGGUGGGAAUGUAAGUCAGUGGUGAAAUCUCCGUGCUUAACACGGAAACUGCCAUUGAUACUAUGUUUCUUGAAUUUUCUGGAGGUUAGCGGAAUAUGUCAUGUAGCGGUGAAAUGCUUAGAUAUGACAUAGAACACCAAUUGCGAAGGCAGCUAACUACAGGGAUAUUGACACUGAGGCACGAAAGCGUGGGGAUCAAACAGG
rnacentral:rRNA from 1 species